rnacentral:rRNA from 1 species
AUGGAGAGUUUGAUCCUGGCUCAGGACGAACGCUGGCGGCGUGCCUAAUACAUGCAAGUCGAGCGGAGCACUUCGGUGCUUAGCGGCGGACGGGUGAGUAACACGUAGGCAACCUGCCUAUAAGACUGGGAUAACUAUCGGAAACGAUAGCUAAGACCGGAUAACUGGUUUUCUCGCAUGAGAGAAUCAUGAAACACGGAGCAAUCUGUGGCUUAUAGAUGGGCCUGCGGCGCAUUAGCUAGUUGGUAGGGUAACGGCCUACCAAGGCGACGAUGCGUAGCCGACCUGAGAGGGUGAACGGCCACACUGGGACUGAGACACGGCCCAGACUCCUACGGGAGGCAGCAGUAGGGAAUCUUCCGCAAUGGACGCAAGUCUGACGGAGCAACGCCGCGUGAGUGAUGAAGGUUUUCGGAUCGUAAAGCUCUGUUGCCCUAGACGAA